rnacentral:lncRNA from 1 species
UGUUGCCUCAGCUUCUCAAAGUUUCUGGUGUUUAUGAAGAUCCAUAACAGCUGGCUGCAAACCCAACUCCUGAGAAUCAUUUCUGGGAGAAUGCCGAAGACUGCAUUUCAACUUCAAGAAUGGGGAUUCUGAACAUCUCUGAAGCUAUCGGUGCCCCUCAAUGGAUCUCUGUAACUUUUUAGCUGUGUGGCCAUGUGCAAAUCACUUGACCAUUUUGAGACUCAGUUUCCUCCACUGUAAAAUGAAGAGACUAGAACAGCACCCGUGGUGGAGAGUAAUCUUAGGGCUCGAGGAGAUAAUAAACAGUAAAGGCUGUGCUGGGCACAGAGUAGGUCCGCUGUAAAUGUUAAUUGAAUCAUCAGCAGCCUGAAAGCAUUUUGUGGAUGGACCUGAAUGAGCUGCACACACGAGUGAUCAUCAUUCUUCACGGGCCGGGGCAUCUGCCAGCUUGCCGAUGAAUCUGUCCCCAAACUACCAAGCCUGGGCUGUGGACGCAUUUCUGGAUGCCCAGAGGCCGGCUUUGCAAAGAGAAGCAAACAACAGCAUCUAUUCACAGGGUCUUAGGCUUGGCCUGCCAGAGCCCACGAGGGGUUUGGACUCAGAGAGCUAUUGAAGGGAAGCCACAAAGACACGUUUUCUCCCCUGCGGCCUGGAGUGAAGACAGAGCGGCCCAGGCA